UGGGGAAUCUUGGACAAUGGGCGCAAGCCUGAUCCAGCCAUGCCGCGUGAGUGAAGAAGGCCUUAGGGUUGUAAAGCUCUUUUACCAGGGACGAUAAUGACGGUACCUGGAGAAUAAGCCCCGGCAAACUUCGUGCCAGCAGCCGCGGUAAUACGAAGGGGGCUAGCGUUGUUCGGAGUUACUGGGCGUAAAGCGCACGUAGGCGGGUCGUUAAGUCAGGGGUGAAAUCCCGGAGCUCAACUCCGGAACUGCCUUUGAUACUGGCGAUCUAGAGAUCGAGAGAGGUGAGUGGAAUUCCGAGUGUAGAGGUGAAAUUCGUAGAUAUUCGGAAGAACACCAGUGGCGAAGGCGGCUCACUGGCUCGAUACUGACGCUGAGGUGCGAA
rnacentral:rRNA from 1 species